rnacentral:rRNA from 1 species
CUACGGGUCGCUGCAGUAGGGAAUUUUCGGUAAUGGGGGCAACCCUGACCGAGCAAUGCCGCGUGAAUGAUGACGAUCUUCGGAUUGUAAAGUUCUGUUGUUUAGGAAGAACUAUACUAAUAGGAAAUGAUUAGUAUUUGACGUUACUAAACUAGAAAGCCCCGGCUAAGUAUGUGGCCAGCAGCCGCGGUAAUACAUAGGGGGCAAGCGUUAUCCGGAAUUAUUGGGCGUAAAGCGUGCGUAGGCGGUUUAUUAAGUCUGAUGUGAAAGCCCACGGCUUAACCGUGGAGGGUCAUUGGAAACUGGUAAACUUGAGUGCGGUAGAGGUAAGUGGAAUUCCAAGUGGAGCGGUGGAAUGCGUAGAUAUUUGGAGGAACACCAGUGGCGAAGGCGGCUUACUGGGCCGUUACUGACGCUGAGGCACGAAAGCGUGGGGAGCAAACAGGAUUAGAUACCCGCGUAGUC